rnacentral:ribozyme from 1 species
GCUACUCGAAUUCUUGGCACACCUCUCCGUGGUGAGUAGCAGGCAACGAUAGUACUGGUUAUGAAAAUCGGCUAAGAUGCAAA